UACGUAGGAUGCAAGCGUUGUCCGGAAUUAUUGGGCGUAAAGAGCGCGCAGGCGGUAUGACAAGUCAGAUGUGAAAGAGGCCGGCUUAACCGGCAAGGGUCAUUUGAAACUGUCAGACUAGAGUGCAGCAGAGGAUAGUGGAAUUCCCGGUGUAGUGGUGAAAUGCGUAGAUAUCGGGAAGAACACCCGUGGCGAAGGCGGCUCUCUGGAACGCAACUGACGCUGAGACGCGAAAGCGUGGGGAGCAAACAGG
rnacentral:rRNA from 1 species